rnacentral:lncRNA from 1 species
UGUUAGUAGAUUUAGCAAUGCUGCAGUAAGUGAAGAGUUGAUCACCCCCCACCUGUUCAUAUGAAUUGCUUGGGAACAGAACAGAUUGGCAUCUAGCUGAAUUAGGCUGAGAUACAUAAUCGUUGCAAGGCUCUUUGGGCUGCUGGUAAUGGAUUUGCAGAAGAGAUUAGGUUGAUGGUUUCAACAAUGAAGAAGUCGAUCUUUGAUGAACAAACUAACCAGGCCUUAAGGAAAUUGCAAAAGAAUGCUCAAAAGAAGAGAAGGCAUCAUGAUGUGGUUCG